GGACUACUGGGGUAUCUAAUCCUGUUUGCUCCCCACGCUUUCGCCCAUCAGCGUCAGUACUGGCCCAGAGUGCCGCCUUCGCCACCGGUGUUCCUCCUGAUAUCUGCGCAUUUCACCGCUACACCAGGAAUUCCGCACUCCCCUACCAGACUCAAGUCAUAGCAGUAUCGGGUGGCGUCUCUGGGUUGAGCCCAGAGUUUUCACACCCGACUUACCAAACCGCCUACGGGCCCUUUACGCCCAAUAAAUCCGGACAACGCUCGCACCCUACGUGUUACCGCGGCUGCUGGCAC
rnacentral:rRNA from 1 species